rnacentral:rRNA from 1 species
CCCUUAGAGUUUGAUCCUGGCUCAGAAUCAACGCUGGCGGCGUGCCUAACACAUGCAAGUCGAACGCGAAAGUGGAGCAAUCCAUGAGUAGAGUGGCAAACGGGUGAGUAACACGUGGGUGACCUGCCUUCGAGUGGGGGAUAACGUCCCGAAAGGGACGCUAAUACCGCAUAACAUGCUGUCUUUUAAGAGAGAGACAUCAAAGCCGGGGACCGCAAGGCCAGGCGCUUGAAGAGGGGCCCGCGUCCGAUUAGCUAGUUGGUGGGGUAAUGGCUCACCAAGGCAACGAUCGGUAGCCGGCCUGAGAGGGCGGACGGCCACACUGGGACUGAGACACGGCCCAGACUCCUACGGGAGGCAGCAGUGGGGAAUUGUUCGCAAUGGGCGCAAGCCUGACGACGCAACGCCGCGUGGAGGAUGAAGAUCUUCGGGUCGUAAACUCCUUUCGAUCGAGACGAAUGGUCUUCGGGUGAAUAAACCGGAGAAAUGACGGUACCGAGAGAAGAAGCCCCGGCUAACUCCGUGCCAGCAGCCGCGGUAAUACGGGGGGGGCAAGCGUUGUUCGGAAUUACUGGGCGUAAAGGGCUCGUAGGUGGCCAACUAAGUCAUACGUGAAAUCCCUCGGCUUAACCGGGGAACUGCGUCUGAUACUGGAUGGCUUGAGUUUGGGAGAGGGAUGCGGAAUUCCAGGUGUAGCGGUGAAAUGCGUAGAUAUCUGGAGGAACA